UACGUAGGGCGCAAGCGUUAUCCGGAAUUAUUGGGCGUAAAGAGCUCGUAGGCGGUUUGUUGCGUCGGCUGUGAAAUCCCGAGGCUCAACCUCGGGUCUGCAGUCGAUACGAGCAAACUAGAGUGUUGCAGGGGAGACUGGAAUUCCUGGUGUAGCGGUGAAAUGCGCAGAUAUCAGGAGGAACACCGGUGGCGAAGGCGGGUCUCUGGGCAACAACUGACGCUGAGGAGCGAAAGCGUGGGGAGCGAACAGG
rnacentral:rRNA from 1 species